rnacentral:lncRNA from 1 species
CUAAGAAACUUCAAUCUCCACGCGACCAAAGGGCUCAAAUUGUCAGAGUGGAAGGUGGUCUCCGCAUUAUCAGCCCCGACUUGCAGGAUGAAGAAGAUGAAGACGAAGACGAGGACGAACAAGAGCAAGGACACAGUCAAAGGGAGGAAGAAGAAGAUGAUGAUGAAGAUGAAUCCCACAGCCAUGAGAGUCGUCAAAAGUGGAGAAAAUACCGCGAAGAAGAGAAACAAGGAUCACAUAGAAGGGAACAUAAGGAAGAGGAAGAAGAAGAAGAAGAGAAAAUAUGCAAGAAAAGAAGCUGCAGAGGAAAGGGAAGGAAGAAUGGGUUGGAAGAAACAAUUUGCAGUGCAAGGAUUCGCGAGAACAUAAUUCGGCCAGCACGUGCAGAUCUAUACAAUCCACGUGCGGGAAGAAUCAGCACCGUCAACAGUUUAACCCUCCCAAUCCUGAGUUACUUACGUCUGAGUGCAGAAUAUGUCCUCCUCUACAGGGUAUGAUUAUAUAUUUGAUAAUGUAAAGGUAAUAGUAAUGAAAUGAAUAUAAUAAUGAAGUACUAAUGAAUGAAUGAAUGAAUGAAAUGCAGAAUGGUAUAAAUGCUCCACAUUGGAAUAUGAACGCCAACAGCCUGAUGUACGUGGUAAGAGGAGAAGGAAAAGUGAGGAUAGUGAACUGUGAAGGAAAAGCAGUGUUCGACGACAAUGUGAGAAAAGGACAGAUGUUGGUGGUGCCACAAAAUUUCGUGGUGGCAGAACAAGCAGGGAAUGAAGAAGGAUUUGAAUAUGUGGUAUUCAAAACAAACGAUAGAGCUGCAGUUAGUAACGUGAAGCAGGUGUUCAGAGCCACUCCUGCACAAGUACUUG